CGCACUUUACCGUAUGUCUGGUAUAUUAUGUGUUUAUUUUGUAUACAUAUUCGCAUCGACGAUUCUCUAUCUGGAGAAUGGAUUUACAGGAACUAAAAAUUUCACGUUCAAGAAUUAUUAACCCUGAUUAAAACAAAAACCUAAGAAAUCGUUUCACGGUCUAGAGGUUACACGUCGAGGAAGGAAUUACCAGUAAAGACUCGAAGGAAAGGAGUGAAAGAUAUAUCAGAAUAGGAUUCAUGUUUACAAUAAAAUUAUCACGAAAUGAAAGUAAAGAAAAGAAACUAAACCUAUAUCAAGAUCAAGGAAGAAUCGUACACAGAUAUAAUGAUAUUGUGAAACAACCGACACAGUUAGACCAGAUGCAACUACAAAGCGUGUAAGUGUAUCACCAUGUGCAUUAUGACAAUGCUUUCCUAUCGAUGUUUACUCGACGAUAACGUUGCUGGGUCUUACAAAUGUGAUUCUACACCAUGGCGUACGUGACCGAUAUGUCGAAGGCGUGCCGUCUGGGACCACAGAAGCUGCAACGGCAUAUACUAAGAAGACGUACACUGAGAACCACAGUUCCGGAAUUUAUCAGGUAAGAUAGUACCCACUUCCAGGAGACUCGAUGCAUGUUAUGUGGAUGAGAAUACAAACUCCAGGGAGUGUGCUCCUAACUGGUGUUCCUAACUGCGCUUAAAAGUUUUACGUUCUUUUUACAAUGAGUUUUAGCACGAAAUGUAAAUUCAUUUCCUUUUUUCUUAAAAUUCUACUCGAGAUAAAUAACAAUUUUAAAGUUUCGUAGUACAUGUACAUGGGAAUCGAGAAAUUUUCGGUCGAAAUCUCAUUUCGAAUUCCAUUAAUUUUUUUUUUUUUUCAUCUUGAAAUCUAAUUCUUGUCUCGAGAAAUCGUUACGAUCGAUGUUCAACUAUUAAACGAUCAAUAGAAAUUAUCGAACAUAAUUCGGUCAGACAAACCGGUAAACCGUUACAAACCGUUAUGUACAAACUUUUUACGUUUGUUUCUUUGUCAGAACGGAAAAUUAGGUUUAUCGUACGGAUGAAUUAUAACAAACGGUGAUCAUGGUAACGUUAACAUUAUCGUUAAAGUAGUUAUGGAUAGUAAGAUCUUUAAAGCGAAGUUCUAGUUUGCGGUCAAGCAAUCUCCAUACCAGACCACCGUUUCUGUAUCACGAUAGAGGAACACUUCUAUGGAUUCAGCUAAUCGAGUUGGCAACUAUUGUGUAAGCACACACGUACACAUAAUCAUGUUACCGGCAGGCAGUCGAACCCGUUGUCGUCGUCCAAAACGACUAUAUGACUAGUAGAAUGUUACUAGUACUUUUAUUACACGUACAUGCUACGUAUGAUGUAAGUAUGAUGUAUACUAGAUUCAUGUAAGUAUAAUAUGAUAAACACCGUGCAACAAAUAUUUGCCUCGAACCUAUAAUUUUAAAACAACACGAUACAAAGAUUUUUUUAUCGUAAUAUUAUUUUCAGGUAUUUUAAAAUUGAAUCAUGCACUAAAUGCUAAUGGGAAAAACGCUUGAUUAGAGACCUAAAUUACAUCACUAUAAUAAUCACUAUACCGAUAUUCAUUCGUCAUGAUGAAUCACGGUGAAUCAAGAUUUGGACUCACUAAUUUUCUCUUUGAUUAAUCACCGGUAGCUACCGGUCGCAGAAAUAUGGACUAAGAAACGAGCAUGGAAUAUCUCGGUAUACAUACUUCGUCAUAAGUAUUGACUAAUGAAAUAUGUAUCAAAAAAUUCUAAAUGAUUACUU